rnacentral:sRNA from 1 species
CCCCGCCGUCAGCAGACUCAAGCAAGGAGAAUGUGGAGAAGGGUGCGGGCGGGCCUUGGCCUCUGUGGCCCCGCGGUGACUCCAAACACCCACUCCCACCAGGUCGCCAGUUCUGUGCUUCCCGCGCCUACGAGAGCAGCCGCGCAGAUGAGCUGUCCGUGCCCGCAGGGGCGCGCGUGCGCGUGUUGGAAACGUCAGACCGCGGCUGGUGGCUGUGCAGGUACGCGGGAGCGGGCACGGGCAGGGCAGGCUAGCCGAGGCGGGCGGGGCCCUAACCACACCCCGCCCCUCGCAGGUAUGGCGACCGGGCCGGCCUACUCCCCGCGGUGCUGCUGCGGCCGGAAGGGCUGGGCGCGCUCCUGAGCGGGACGGGGUUCCGCGGAGGAGACGACCCGGCGGGUGAGGCCGGGGGCUUCCCCGAACCCUCCCAGGCCACCGCCCUUCCUCCCACCGUGCCCACCCGACCUUCGCCGGGCGCCAUCCAGAGCCGCUGCUGCACCGUCACACGCAGGGCCCUGGAGCGGCGCCCACGGCGCCACGGCCGCUCUCGAGGGUGCGUGGACUCUGUGCCGCACCCCACGACGGAGCAGUGAGCGCGAGGAUCCCGAUGAGGGGAUGGACCGCGCCAUCCCAGGGCUGGGGAGGAGCGGGGAAGGCGGAUCUCCCUGGCCAGCAGGGAUGGGAGGGGGUCAUUGGCUGUUCCUCUGAGUAAAGCUUCUUCUGAAUGA